rnacentral:rRNA from 1 species
CCCUUGUAUGUUUGAUGUUCUAACGCAGGGCCCUGAAUCGGGCUCGCGGACAGUGCCUGGUGGGUAGUUUGACUGGGGCGGUCUCCUCCCAAAGAGUAACGGAGGAGCACGAAGGUUGGCUAAUCCUGGUCGGACAUCAGGAGGUUAGUGCAAUGGCAUAAGCCAGCUUAACUGCGAGACGGACAGGUCGAGCAGGUACGAAAGUAGGUCAUAGUGAUCCGGUGGUUCUGAAUGGAAGGGCCAUCGCUCAACGGAUAAAAGGUACUCCGGGGAUAACAGGCUGAUACCGCCCAAGAGUUCAUAUCGACGGCGGUGUUUGGCACCUCGAUGUCGGCUCAUCACAUCCUGGGGCUGAAGUCGGUCCCAAGGGUAUGGCUGUUCGCCAUUUAAAGUGGUACGCGAGCUGGGUUCAGAACGUCGUGAGACAGUUCGGUCCCUAUCUGCCGUGGGCGUUGGAUGAUUGAAGGGAGUUGCUCCUAGUACGAGAGGACCGGAGUGAACGAACCUCUGGUGUUCGGGUUGUCACGCCAGUGGCACUGCCCGGUAGCUAAGUUCGGAAUCGAUAACCGCUGAAAGCAUCUAAGCGGGAAGCGAGCCCUGAGAUGAGUCAUCCCUGACCCCUUGAGGGUCCUAAAGGGCCGUUGGAGACCACAACGUUGAUAGGUGGGGUGUGUAAGCGCAGUGAUGUGUUGAGCUAACCCAUACUAAUUACCCGUGAGGCUUAACCAUACAACACCCAAGAAGUGUU